rnacentral:rRNA from 1 species
AUACGUAGGUGGCAAGCGUUGUCCGGAUUUAUUGGGCGUAAAGCGAGCGCUGGCGGUUUCUUAAGUCUGAUGUGAAAGCCCCCGGCUCAACCGGGGAGGGUCAUUGGAAACUGGGAGACUUGAGUGCAGAAGAGGAGAGUGGAAUUCCAUGUGUAGCGGUGAAAUGCGUAGAUAUAUGGAGGAACACCAGUGGCGAAGGCGACUCUCUGGUCUGUAACUGACGCUGAGGCUCGAAAGCGUGGGGAGCAAACAGGAUUAGAUACCCUGGUAGUCCACGCCGUAAACGAUGAGUGCUAAGUGUUGGAGGGUUUCCGCCCUUCAGUGCUGCAGCUAACGCAUUAAGCACUCCGCCUGGGGAGUACGACCGCAAGGUUGAAACUCAAAUGAAUUGACGGGG